GAUCCGGCUCAGGACGAACGCUGGCGGCGCGCCUAACACAUGCAAGUCGAACGAGCGAGAGAGAGCUUGCUUUCUCGAGCGAGUGGCGAACGGGUGAGUAACGCGUGAGGAACCUGCCUCAAAGAGGGGGACAACAGUUGGAAACGACUGCUAAUACCGCAUAAGCCCACGGCUCGGCAUCGAGCAGAGGGAAAAGGAGCAAUCCGCUUUGAGAUGGCCUCGCGUCCGAUUAG
rnacentral:rRNA from 1 species